UCCGCACUCGCAGUCCGGACAGGGAAGGAGGCCUGAGCGGGACCCGUGGGAUUUGCGCUGCGGUAGAACAAGCUGGGGGAGUGUGGAGAAAGCGCGGCGAGAAGAGAAGGCUUCCUGGCGGAGGGCCAGCUUCUCCCAGAUGAAAGAUGGCCUGGAGAUGUGAGGGGUGUUAUUGUGUCUGGCCGGCCCCGGCCGAGUGUCCACAGCCCUCACUCGCCGGCCUCCCAGCACUGGCUGCUGAAACUUUUGGUCAAGAAGCUUUUCACAGAUGCUCAACACAGAAAACAGAAACA